rnacentral:rRNA from 1 species
CUUCCGGUGAUCCCGCCGGACCCGACUGCUAUCAGAGUGGGACUAAGCCAUGCGAGUCAACGUAGCAAUACGUGGCAUACGGCUCAGUAACACGUAGUCAACAUGCCCAGGGGACGAGGAUAACCUCGGGAAACUGAGGAUAAACCUCGAUAGGCCAUGAUUUCUGGAAUGAUUCUUGGCUCAAACCUAUAUGGCCCCUGGAUUGGACUGCGGCCGAUCAGGCUGUUGGUGAGGUAAUGGCCCACCAAACCUAUUACCGGUACGGGCUCUGAGAGGAGGAGCCCGGAGAUGGGCACUGAGACAAGGGCCCAGGCCCUAUGGGGCGCAGCAGGCGCGAAACCUCUGCAAUAGGCGAAAGCUUGACAGGGUUACUCUGAGUGAUUUCCGCUAAGGGAAUCUUUUGGCACCUCUAAAAAUGGUGCAGAAUAAGGGGUGGGCAAGUCUGGUGUCAGCCGCCGCGGUAAUACCAGCACCCCGAGUGGUCGGGACGAUUAUUGGGCCUAAAGCAUCCGUAGCCGGUCCUGCAAGUCUUCCGUUAAAUCCAGCUGCUCAACAGAUGGGCUGCGGGAGAUACUACAGGGCUAGGAGGCGGGAGAGGCAAGCGGUACUUUAUGGGUAGGGGUAAAAUCCGCUGAUCCAUAGAAGACCACCAGUGGCGAAGGCGGCUUGCCAGAACGCGCUCGACGGUGAGGGAUGAAAGCUGGGGGAGCAAACCGGAUUAGAUACCCGGGUAGUCCCAGCUGUAAACGAUGCAGACUCGGUGAUGGGUUGGCCUCGCGCCUGCCCAGUGCCGCAGGGAAGCCGUUAAGUUUGCCGCCUGGGGAGUACGGUCGCAAGACUGAAACUUAAAGGAAUUGGCGGGGGAGCCA